CAAAGCAUUAAAAGAAACAUAAAUGAUCCCAACUAUCCAGGCAGAUUGUUCAAUUCCAAAGCAUCUGAAAAGCAAAACCCUUCAGCAGCCUGUUAGAGUAUCAUCCCAUCAAUCUGCUUCAAUAAUAUAUUGGAAUGUGUUCUUUCAAAAACCAUUGCGCCUCUUCAGAAUCUUGACACUCCUUUAUCUAAAAAGACCCAAAAAUUCAUCUUCCAACUAUUUCCUUCCCAUAUUCCAAAAUGGGGAACCAAUAUCAGAUGUGGCUUAUACGAUGUGGUUAUCGUCGAUUUACUUCAACAACAUCGAGUGCAUAGGCAACAACAUCGCCCACAAGAUAAGUUGUUUCAUUUCUUUUAAGACCCUCUGCAGCCAAAGUAUAAGCAGCAUCGUUUAUAUGAUUUUGUACAUGGUGGAAAACACAGUUUUGGAAAAUCACACAUGACGCACGAAUAUUAUGAAUAUAUGCUCUAAUUACUAACCAUUCCUCUCUAUUUCUUUCAGAUUACGAAUCACGAACAAGCAAUCUCCUUCGACUUUUACAUUUAGAAAACCCAUUUGAGCUCCUGUCAAAACUGCCUAGAAGCAAGCCAUCGUCUCUGCUGCAAAUGGUGAAGGAUCUAUUAUCUUGCUUCCAAAAUCCUGCAUCAAAAUUUAUUUUGACAAAAGGGUUCUGAAGCGCCUUCCACACACCAGCGGUCGCACUUUUCCCUUCAUGUAACAAUUUGUUGCAUGUAGUCUAGAUUGCCCACAACCCACAGCAAAACAAUCGACAAAGGUACAUGAAACUAUUUUCAAAAAAACUGUUUACCCAUUCUGCCAUUUGAGUCAUAUGCAUCUACGUACAUUGUGUGAACCUUAACUGUUGCCAGAUCUCUUUUGUGUGCAAACACUCUUGAAAAACAUGUUCAAUUGUUUCCACACCAUUGUGACAGCGGUGACAGUUCGCAGAGUUCAUCAACCUCCUGUAGCAUAGGUUUGCAUAAGUAGGCACAUAGUUGUUCAUAAUCCUUAACUGUUGCCAGAUCUCUUUUGUGUGCAAACACUCUUGAAAAACAUGUUCAACUGUUUCCACACCAUUGUAACAGCGGUGACAGUUCGCAGAGUUCAUCAACCUCCUGUAGCAUAGGUUUGCAUAAGUAGGCACAUAGUUGUUCAUAAUCCUCCAUGUUGUAAUUUUUAUUUCGGAGGGUAGAUCAAUAUUCCAGAGCUUUUUGUAUAAGCUAGAGUAGGGGUAGAAAUUCCCAUCAGUAGAAAUUCCAUAAUGGUUAUGUAUCAACCAUUUGUACGCACUUCGAACCGUAUAUUCCCCCGUAGCUUCACCACUCCAAGCGCGAACAUCCUUCUAUGGAACAAGGGGUAAAUAAAUGGCUAAAAUCUGUUGAGUAUCAUCAACGACAAAGGUAUCCAUACAUCCGCCCUCAAUACUUGAAACAAUUCUCCAACACAUUCUAGCCUCCAAAAUGUCCUUGGUGGCCCAUAUGCUUCUCCAGGUAUAAGAAGGCGUUGAUUCACAUUCGGUUGCUAGAUAGAAAGCUAAUCAUGGAAAGUGAAUUUUUUGAUAAAGUGAAAGAUAAUGCGGUUGUCCGAAUAUGGUCAGAAAAAACGCAACUCGAGAAAGGAGACAGCUUGACGGAAGGGUACACGUCAGAGUUAUUGGACUUCACUUAUAUCAAUGUAACUCAGAAUAAUUUCCAGGAGUUGAAAGAAAUAUAGGCCCAGUGGGAUGAUGAAGUUAAACAAUUGUUUUACUCUAAUUAUGGUAACUUGCCUUAUUUGCUUGAUAUUAAAGUGGACGAAUAUUUGUUUCGAGCUCUAGCCCAAUUUUGGAAUCUCGCUUAUAGCUGCUUUACUUUUGGGGAGAUAGACUUGGUGCCUACCAUAGAGGAAUAUACAGCCUUACUGCGUUGCCCAAGGUUUCAGGCAGAUAAAGUCUAUUCUAAAGCCGUCAAUAUCCCUACUUUUGUGAAGAAGCUAGUGAACAUGUUGGGAAUGAGUGAGCAAUGGGUCUCACCGCGGGUCAAACAGAAAUGGGAAAACAAAUGUAUUCCCUAGAGAAGUCUGCGUGAUUUGAUUUUAGCUCACCCUGAUACGAAGAAAAAAGUCAAUGUUUUUGCUUUGAGCAUUUAUGGGCUGAUGAUUUUCCCUCGAGCGUUGGGGUAUGUAGACGAGGCAAUUACUGAUUUAUUUGAUCGACUGGACAAGAGGGUCACACCUGUUCCAGCAAUUUUGGUCGAGACAUUUAGAUCUUUAAGUGCGUGCCGAAGCGUGGGGGAGGGAAGAUUCAUUGGAUGUGCACAGCUCUUGUUAGUAUGGUUUCACAGUCACUUCUGGAAAGUGGAUAAAGUCUCUUACCGAGUAUUUUCCAAGAAUUAUUCUCCAUUGAAAGAAUUAGCAGCCAUGCCGAGACGUGACAACAUUACCGUGGAAAGAUGGAUAGCGAUUCUUCAAAAUAUCAAAGAUGAAGAUGUUGAAUGGAAAGCUCCUUGGAUGGUGCCCAAUGAGAUCUUGUAUCGAUGUGGGAAUUUCGACUGGGUCCCUUUACUUGGGAUUUGGGGAGUCAUU